UACGAAGGGGGCUAGCGUUGCUCGGAAUCAUUGGGCGUAAAGCGCACGUAGGCGGCCUCAUAAGUCGGAUGUGAAAUCCCUCGGCUCAACCGAGGAAGUGCAUCCGAAACUGCGAGGCUCGAGUAUGGAAGAGGGUCGCAGAAUUCCCGGUGUAGAGGUGAAAUUCGUAGAUAUCGGGAGGAAUACCAGUGGCGAAGGCGGCGACCUGGGCCAAUACUGACGCUGAGGUGCGAAAGCGUGGGGAGCAAACAGG
rnacentral:rRNA from 1 species